rnacentral:rRNA from 1 species
GGCGGACGGGUGAGUAACGCGUGGGAACGUACCCAGAUCUAAGGAAUAGCCACUGGAAACGGUGAGUAAUACCUUAUACGCCCUUCGGGGGAAAGAUUUAUCGGAUUUGGAUCGGCCCGCGUUAGAUUAGGUAGUUGGUGGGGUAAUGGCCUACCAAGCCUACGAUCUAUAGCUGGUUUUAGAGGAUGAUCAGCCACACUGGGACUGAGACACGGCCCAGACUCCUACGGGAGGCAGCAGUGGGGAAUCUUAGACAAUGGGCGCAAGCCUGAUCUAGCCAUGCCGCGUGAGUGAUGAAGGCCUUAGGGUCGUAAAGCUCUUUCGCCAGAGAUGAUAAUGACAGUAUCUGGUAAAGAAACCCCGGCUAACUCCGUGCCAGCAGCCGCGGUAAUACGGAGGGGGUUAGCGUUGUUCGGAAUUACUGGGCGUAAAGCGCACGUAGGCGGAUUAGAAAGUUAGGGGUGAAAUCCCGGGGCUCAACCUCGGAACUGCCUCUAAAACUCCUAGUCUAGAGUUCGAGAGAGGUGAGUGGAAUUCCAAGUGUAGAGGUGAAAUUCGUAGAUAUUUGGAGGAACACCAGUGGCGAAGGCGGCUCACUGGCUCGAUACUGACGCUGAGGUGCGAAAGUGUGGGGAGCAAACAGGAUUAGAUACCCUGGUGGUCCACACCGU